UGGCCAAACAACGCGGAUUGCAGUUCAUUUCAAAGAGAAUGAUGGCUCAGAAUGCCCCAGGUGAGAGGAUGAGAUGAGUUUGUGAUUUAAAAAUGCUGUGACUCUAAAAAGAAAAUUUUUAAAGUUAAAAGCACCAUGCUAGUUUCCUCCCUGCUCCCAGAUCAUUAGAGUGUCACAUAAUUUGAAGCCCUGCUACAUGAUGAUCCUGCUGUCUUCAUCCUCCUACCCACAACCCAAGUUUUGCUACUGUUCCUGAUUCAUUUCAUUGUGAUAAGAAAAGCUGCUUGGUUUUGGUAUCAGGAUGAUGCUGGCAUCAUAAAAUGAGUAUUUUUCUUCAGACUUCAGACUGCUGUGCUGGAAGCAAGAAUUUCAAGCAUUGGAUCUUAGCUUGCUGGGCUCCAUAGGGGUGGGAUCCACUGAGCUAGACCACUUGGCUCCCUGGCUUCAGCCCCCUUCCAGAUGUCCUUGGCGUGUACACCCUGUGGAAUCUGGUUCAUCUUCAAUCUGUCAGAAGGCAUCAGAGGUGGUUUUGACUCCUUAUGUCUUGGACCUGUGCACAAAAAGUACGGGCAGGAGAGGAUGCAGGAGACUGUACAAAGUUCAAGAAACGAUAUGCUUUAAUCAAGGUAAAAUGGAUGGAACAUCAGACAGCUCAUUAUAGAGACAAGUAAGCUCCAGUUCCAAAGUUGGUUGACAGAACAAGUCAUGACCUUGUGUGGAGGAAAAUGAGAUCCCGAGUGAAGUCUACAAUGUCAUUGACUCUGAAGAAGGACUCAGAGACCCAUUGGUGUUUAAUGACCCUUACUGGCCUAUGCAAUGGAAACUGGUAAUGAAAACAUCCCCAUGACCAGAAAUCCUCAGGAAUAAUUCCUCUUGACUGCAGCCAAUGGGAACUCUAUAGAUUGGUUUGCUGCUCUCUUUCCUGAUAAAGAGAAGACUUUGAGAUGUGCAUGUUUAUGUUGGUAAAUAAAUUCUGGCAUGAAAUGAGAAUUCAGGAAUCAAGCCUAAGGCAUCAAAAACAGUAAUAAAGUGAAUUUGUAGCCAUAUUGUCUUUGGUGCUUCCAGGACAAAGUCUGCAUAUUUAAGGCUAAUGGUGCAGAUUUCUGAGUUUUAUGAAAUAUGUCAUCAUGUGAUGGUUUUGGUAUCAGGAUGAUGCUGGCAUCGAAAAAUGAGUUAGGGAGGAGUCCAUCCUUUUGAAUUGUUUGAAAUAGUUUCAGAAGAAAUGGUACCAACUCCUCUUUUACCUCUGGUAGAAUUCAUCUGUAAAUCCAUCUAGUCCUGGGCAUUUUUUGGUUGAUCUUGAGUGUGCCUUAAAAUUCCAUUUCAUGGAGAACUGUGCGUGGUUGAAUUUUGAUUGAUUACUCAAUUAACUGAUGUAUUGGUAGAGUGAUUAAGAAAGAAGACUUUGGGAUCAGACCAACCUGGUUUUGAAUUCAAGCUCAGCAACUUACUAGGUAAGGAGGAGAAAAGAAAGAAGGAAAAAUUGGAAAGAUAAAUGGGGUCUUUCCAGUGAAGCCUCCAGGCCUCCAGACUGGAACUUAUACCACUGAUUCUUCUGAAUCUUAGGCCUUUGGACUUGGACUGGAACUAAACCAUCAGCUCUUCUUGUUCUACCACUUGCAGACUGUAUGUCUUGGGACAUGUCAGCCUCUGUAAUCACGCUCAAUUUUCCUACAUAAUUAAGAGUUUGGAAUUCGGGCAAUAUCAAGAACCACAUCUGUCCUGAAAUCAAUUAUCUCUGUUUGGAAUAUGGAUAUGAGAGAUCACUUUGCUGUGCUGUAAAUGAUCGAUUAAAAUACAUAUUUCUCUCCUGACCCUCUGGGCCUGCCUUUCCAUGCAGUACCCUUGUUCUCUGAGAGUGAGGAGGUCUGUGUUUUGAGCCUUCCUACAAUACAGAAUCUGAGGAGGGUGGCUCUGUUAUUCUGAUGGAAUGAAUGCUCAGUGAGAUCAAAAUCAAGUCAUUGAGGAUGCCAGGAGAGUCUGGGGCAUCCUCAGGUACCCUGCAGGGUUUGUGGGGAGGCUGCUGGACUUACAGAUUGUUGUGGAUUUCAUCCUGGAUGGUUUACUGAGCUCUUUGGGGUUCCUGAGGUGAAAAUUACAGCAAUUUUAAGAGUCUGACACACUUUCCAGCUGAUAGCACUAAAAACAUGACUUGUAGCCUCCUCUCUUUUUCCUGUUUGCUUCUCUGAAUGAAGAUGGCAGAACUAAUCUGUAUGAACUAUUAUCUGUUAUGUGAAUUUUUA
ensembl:lncRNA novel transcript